GCCAGGGACUGAGUUAAGGGUUUGCAAGCCUCUCACCUUGCUCAUCCCCCCGGCAACCCUGUGAGAGCAGGUGCUAUUAUUACUCUCAUUUUGGAGAUGAAGAAACAGGUCUUGAGAGAUUAUGUAACUUGCCCAAGGGAGUGGUGGAGGUGGAUUUCAAGACACACUCUGACCUGCUCCUCCAGGUCCAGGAAUGUAGAGGAAGGUGAUUCACAGGGCUGAGCCUGACUGUGAGAAACCCAGGGCUGCCCUGCAUUCCAUCGUGCCUGGAACACAUGACUCUGUAAGGUGGUCCGAGGAGACCUGCCGCUGGUGAGCCUUGCCCUGGACAUGAGGACUGAAGAAGCCAGUGGAAAGAGUUGAUUGAGACUCAAAAUGUUCCUUGACAGCCAGUUUCAGAAGAUAAGUUGUAGAGAAUUUAAAAAUGAACGGGGGCUCCUGGGUGGUUGUUACACUUGAUCAUUCAUUGAGCUGUACACGGAUGCUUUUUGUGCUAUUCUGUUUGUAAAAUGUUUAUUGACUAAAUGAUUGAAUAUACCCAUGGAUAAUGGCCAGACCGUGUAUGAAAAUGGAACUCUGACCCACAAUCUGCAGCAACCAGCCCAGGAAACCAACACAUUGUCUAUGGUGAUCAGCCCAGGAAGCCAGCCUGCUCUCCGACCAGCCAGAGAAAGCCAAAUAUGCACCCCUACUCAGACACCACAGGAUGCCCACUUCUGGUUGGCCCACUUGCAGCUUCCCCAUGCCAACGGCCUCCAAUCAAACCUGAAGACAUCCCUUUUUUCCCCACAAUGAAACUUUCCCUUUUCUUUGUCUUCCUUUGAGUCUCUGCCAAAAUGCAAGUGACGGUGGCUGACUCUCUUGCUAUAUAGCAAGCUCUGAAUAAAUAGCCUUUGCUUGUUCA